UCAUCCUCUCUCUACUUUCUCUCUCUGUUCUUGCUCCUUUGGUUCUUGCUUCUCAUCGUCUCAAGACCACCACUUCUAUUGGUUCAUUUUGUGUUUUUUGUUUUUUGUUUUUUCUUUUGUUUACUACUGAAUAUAAGAGAAUGAGGGUUUCUCUUGGUUUUGGAGUUAAUGUGUUCUUUUCUUGUGUUUGAUUGAUUUGGUUCGUUCUUUUGAUUCAGGGCGGAGAGAAUUCAUAGAUGAUUUAUCCAGCAGGGUACUCUUAUAUAUCAGAAGCGGGCGAGAGCUUGAAAGAACCCAAACCUAUUGUUUUUUAAGAUAAAAAUUUUCAAUCUAGAGAAGGAAUUAACUCCCUUGAAUUUGAUUUUUCCAUUUGGACUUCAGGAAGUAAACCCAGCAAUGAACAGAAGGAUAAACGGUUUGAGGAUGGAGG